rnacentral:rRNA from 1 species
UGUUGCGGUUAAAAAGCUCGUAGUUGGAUUUCUGUCGAAGACGGCCGGUCCGCUCUUUGAGCGUGUAUCUGGUUCGGCUUUGGCAUCCUCGUGGGGUACGUAACUGUGCUUGGUUGCAUGGUGCGGAAUUCACGACUUUUACUUUGAGGAAAUUAGAGUGUUCACGGCAGGCAUGAGCCUUGAAUACAUUAGCAUGGAAUAAUAAUAUAGGACUUUGGUUUUAUUUUGUUGGUUUCUAGAACUAAAGUAAUGAUUAAUAGGGAUAAUUGGGGGCAUUUGUAUUAACGCGUCAGAGGUGGAAUUCUUGGAUUGCGUUACGACAAACUACUGCGAAAGCAUUUGCCAAGGAUGUUUUCAUUGAUCAAGAACGAAAGUAUGGGGAUC